AUACAAAGUUAUGCACGUCAUCACAAUUACAUAGCUACAUUCUAGGCCUGUGCAAUAAGGUUCCUAAGAAUCAUGGUCUAGCUUUGAUCUGUAGAUCAUAUUUAGUAGUCUAGCCACAUCACAAAUUAAUAUUUAAGCAGCAGUAUAUAUAGGGGAUAAUUGUUGCAUUGUGAGGGAGGUUAUAACUAGAGUGGAGAAUUAGGGGCUGUGAUAGGGGUAGUGGUUGUGAUGGAAUAAUAAGGACAGUGAUAGGAUUAGGGGCCGUAGGAACUGUAGAGGGAAUUUACUGAGUGUUAAUGGCUGUGAUGGGGAAAUAAGGGUAGUAAUGAGGGAGAUAGGGGCUGUGAUGGGUAGGUACGGACUGAGAUUGGGAAAGUAGGAAAUAAGAUGGGGAGGUAGGAGUUAAGA